UGACAUCACAGCAGAGAGGCGAAUCUGGCAUUGAUAUUUGACAUCACAGCAGAGAGGUGAAUCUGGCAUUGAUAUUUGACAUCACAGCAGAGAGGUGAGUCUGGUAUUGAUAUUUGACAUCACAGCAGAGAGGCGAAUCUGGCAUUGAUAUUUGACAUCACAGCAGAGAGGCGAAUCUGGCAUUGAUAUGUGACAUCACAGCAGGGAAUCUAUUUUGGCAUUGCUAUUUGAAAUCACAGGACAGAGAGGUGAGUCUGGUAUUGAUAUUUGAAAUCACAGCAGAGAGGUGAGUCUGGUAUUGAUAUGUGACAUCACAGCAGGGAAUCUAUUUUGGCAUUGCUAUUUGAAAUCACAGGACAGAGAGGUGAGUCUGGUAUUGCUAUUUGACAUCACAGCAGAGAUUCAUGUCUGGCAUUGAUAUUUGAAAUCACAGCAGAGAGGUGAGUCUGGUAUUGAUAUGUGACAUCACAGCAGG
ensembl:lncRNA